rnacentral:rRNA from 1 species
AUUGAACGCUGGCGGCAGGCCUAACACAUGCAAGUCGAGCGGAUGAGAAGAGCUUGCUCUUCGAUUCAGCGGCGGACGGGUGAGUAAUGCCUAGGAAUCUGCCUGGUAGUGGGGGACAACGUUUCGAAAGGAACGCUAAUACCGCAUACGUCCUACGGGAGAAAGCAGGGGACCUUCGGGUCUUGCGCUAUCAGAUGAGCCUAGGUCGGAUUAGCUAGUUGGUGAGGUAAUGGCUCACCAAGGCGACGAUCCGUAACUGGUCUGAGAGGAUGAUCAGUCACACUGGAACUGAGACACGGUCCAGACUCCUACGGAAGGCAGCAGUGGGGAAUAUUGGACAAUGGGCGAAAGCCUGAUCCAGCCAUGCCGCGUGUGUGAAGAAGGUCUUCGGAUUGUAACGCACUUUAAGUUGGGAGGAAGGGCAGUAAGUUAAUACCUUGCUGUUUUGACGUUACCGACAGAAUAAGCACCGGCUAACUCUGUGCCAGCAGCCGCCGUAAUAC